rnacentral:lncRNA from 1 species
GGCUAGCGGUGGUGAUUCUUUGCUGGCCAUAUAAGGAGAAAACCAUGGUGAUGGUGAUGGUGUGAUCAGCGGCUGCAAGAGGGAGAGGAAAACAUGAUGAUGUUGGUGAUUUGUGGUGCUGCAACGUGAAGAGAUCAAGGUUGUAUGGGUGCUGUCAUCAUGAAGAAGAAGAAUGAGGCUGGUUCUCGCAUUGAUGGAGACACAAGGUGGUGGCGGUUGCUCACGUGAAGAAGGAGAAGCUCGUGGUUGCUUGCUCCAUUGAGAGAGGAGGUACGGUGGUGAUGAGAGGAAGGAUAAGUUGAAGAUGGUGAUGGGGUUCGGUUGUUGUAACAAGAAAGGAAAUGAAGGAGAGUUUAAGGGAAAAUUGGAGAAGUGUGGGUCGGUAGCUUAGGAGAAAUAAGGAGGAGAAGAAAAGAAAUGGGUCUAAAGCAGCAAAACAAAGAAAAUGAAACUGAAAUUAGAAGAGAGGGACAGUGUGCGUGAAUGAUAGUAAGGGAGAGGAAAAUAGAUAUUUGUUGGUAGUAAGAAAAAUCAAAUAAACAUCUGAGCAAGGGACGUGGAGGAGGGAGAACCUAGGAAAAUGAGAAGAUAUUUUGUAAUGCGGUACGGAUUAGUUUAGACACUGACGAAUUUAAUUCAUAGAGUUAAGAGAAAAAUAUAAAGGUGAUAUAUUAUUAUCUUAAAAAUUAUGAGGAACUUUAUGAAAUAAUAAGAUAUAAAUUAGGAUCACUUUGAGCAAAUUAAAAUGAUCCAUGAACCAAGAAAUGAGUCAAAACUGAACUAAAGAAUAAUUGUGAGACAAUUAGAAUAAAUAUGACGUUAUCAUAUUAUACAACUAAGCUAAGUAUCCCUUUAUAAAAGGUCAAUACUUGCUUCGGAGUUUCAUUUAAGUGAGAAAAUUGCUUGAACGCGAUCUGCUUCAAAAUAUGCCGCAGAACUACUUUUUGCAAAUGACGUCGAACGAAGAAACUUCCUUCUGGAAAGAGAUCCCAAACAUCAAAAGAAAUGAGGUUACGCGGAUGGAAACUUCGUUAGAAGCUCCGAAUAGAAAAUGCUUCAAAUCUGAACAGGUCUCUAUAAUUUUUCCCAAAGCUUCAGCUCAUUUUUAAAUCACCAUGCUUAUAGUUGAAUCUAAAUUUAUCAUCAUGCAUUCAUUUAGGCCAUAAAAUGCACUUACUUAAGAAACAAGUAGCACUUAGCAUGUUUGAAAUAACACAUAACAUAUUCCACAUUUCCAUUGCUUCUCACAUAAGACAUGGUACUUAAUUACUUAAAGGAAAAGUAACAUUUAGCAUGCUCAACCAUUCAUCCACAAAACUCUACCCAAAAUUUUCCCCGAAAUCACCCUAAACAUCAUGCAUCAUUACUAGAGUUUCAAGAAAAGGUUUUUCUCCCCCAAUACACAUGCUAGCUCUCGGCCAAAAAUGGAUAAUCCAAGAUUGAUGUUUUCUUUUACUACAAGCUAAUUCCUAGGCAUCAUGCAUCAUUAUUAAGGCAUAAGAAUUGAUUACCGCAUGCUUAUACUCUCCCCAAGGCGCUAGAAUAAAAGCCCCAAUUUGGAACCCUAAAAUUUCAAAGUUAUGAUUUUUCUGAAAUUGGUUUUACAUAGCUCAAAUUAAAGCAUAUAUAAACAACUAAUGCAAAGACCCUAAGCAUGAAUAUGACUCUAACAUAAUCAAAGUCCAAUUUUUUUGUAAAAGUUCAACUUUUCCACACAACAUUUAUAUUAAUAGAAAGCUACUCCUAGUUUAUAAAUAUACAUUUUGAUAGCCACUGCAAUUUUGAUACAAGUAUUCAACAGAUCAAAAGAAAAGCAAUCCGCAACAUGAAAACCCACAUCAUCAAUUUAUUUGUCUAACUACAUGUAUCCACUUAGCCUAAGACGAAUGAAUCAGGUCCAUAAGCCAUCAAGAAAACCAAAAAGCAAGCCUUAUCACAUCUCCAUGAUACAACAUAAACAGGGGAAAAACAAUUGAAUACCAGAAAUAUAAAUGUAAUGAAGGUGAAAUGAGGGACUAGGGAGUUCAUACAUGGUGAUCUUGGUGAAGAAGAAAUUGGAGCAUGGCAUGGUGUUGGUGGUGCUAUGGCUAGCGGUGGUGAUUCUUUGCUGGCCAUAUAAGGAGAAAACCAUGGUGAUGGUGAUGGUGUGAUCAGCGGCUGCAAGAGGGAGAGGAAAGCAUGAUGAUGUUGGUGAUUUGUGGUGCUGCAACGUGAAGAGAUCAAGGUUGUAUGGGUGCUGUCAUCAUGAAGAAGAAGGUGGUGAGGCAGCACGUAAAUGCAGAUGCAGAUGGCGAGUUUGGCNNNNNNNNNNNNNNNNNNNNNNNNNNNNNNNNNNNNNNNNNNNNNNNNNNNNNNNNNNNNNNNNNNNNNNNNNNNNNNNNNNNGUGGGUGUUUCUUUGCUGGCCAUAUAAGGAGAAAACCAUGGUGAUGGUGAUGGUGUGAUCAGCGGCUGCAAGAGGGAGAGGAAAGCAUGAUGAUGUUGGUGAUUUGUGGUGCUGCAACGUGAAGAGAUCAAGGUUGUAUGGGUGCUGUCAUCAUGAAGAAGAAGAAUGAGGCUGGUUCUCGCAUUGAUGGAGACACAAGGUGGUGGCGGUUGCUCACGUGAAGAAGGAGAAGCUCGUGGUUGCUUGCUCCAUUGAGAGAGGAGGUACGGUGGUGAUGAGAGGAAGGAUAAGUUGAAGAUGGUGAUGGGGUUCGGUUGCUGUAACAAGAAAGGAAGUGAAGGAGAGUUUAAGGGAAAAUUGGAGAAGUGUGGGUCGGUAGCUUGGGAGAAAUAAG